rnacentral:rRNA from 1 species
CAGUAGCCGCGGUAAUACCAGCAGCCCAAGUGGUGGUCGCGAUUAUUGGGCCUAAAGCGCUCGUAGCCGGGCCGGUAAGUCCCUUGUGAAAUCGGACGGCCUAACCGUUCGGCGUGCAAGGGAUACUGUCGGUCUUGAGGCCGGGAGACGUCCGAGGUACUCCGGGGGUAGCGGUGAAAUGUUCUAAUCCUCGGGGGACCACCGGUGGCGAAGGCGUUCGACGAGAACGGGCCUGACGGUGAGGGGCGAAGGCUAGGGGAGCAAACGGGAUUAGAUACCCCCGUAGUCCCUGUCUCUUAUU